UGGAUAGACAAGGCACACACUUUUCCUCCACUGUUACUCGGAGAAUCUCAAGUAUUGAUGAUGGCAAUCGAAGUUUCUUGUCUCUAUGACCUUGUGUAAGCCACACCUGCUGACGAAGCUCUUUGGUUUACAGAGCCCUGAGGGUGAGAGGGGUAAUGAGGUCACUGGAAUUAUUGUGGAAGGUGCAAAGGUCAACUUGGCGUGAGGAAAGUAGGAGAUGGAUGCUGUCACAAUGGCACACUGAUCACUGUCCCACAUUCCAUUGCUCCCUAAAUGGCAUCUUCACAGUCUACGGGUUCCAACCCAUCACACGGUAUCAGUUAAAAGUCAUUUAAAAGUCAACAAGAUCUAGAGAAGGUUUUCUCAGGACCGUGACAUUUCAACCCACAACACGGAGGCUGGAGGACAGGCGGGCGUUUGCAGCUAGUGUUCGUGGUUAGUGAAGGAGAGGAGCUUCCAUUUGGGGCUGAUAUGGAUGGAUGCAUCUAGCAUCUUUCAAAUUCAAAGAUGGCUGUGCUCUGCUUGGCCCAGAUGAAUACAGAAUUUGUGAGCAAAUUGCUGUGAAGACAGCUCUCUGCUCCCUCCAAAAACCACAGCUAGCAAGCUCCUGUCAAACACUCCUGUGCCAUAAGGUGUUAAUGAUAUGAAGAAUUAAAUGUCAUCGUGAACAACAAUUUGCAUCCACUCACAGCAGAGAAGAGGAUUUAAAAUUUCAAAGUAAUAGCACAAAAAAAUCUCCAGUCUCCCAGACUACAAGCUUGUUUUCUGGAGCUGCUGUCUCCAGUUUGUCUCCCUCCUCCAAUCUGAGCCAGCAGCACCCCAAAUGGACCAAACGUAGCUUCAUCUGGAUCAACAGAACACUAGCCAGCAGCCGCAGGAACAGCCGUAGGCAGAAGGGCUUGGGCAUCUUGCUUGAUGAAGCUAGGCAAGUGUGGAUGGCCACCCUCCUCCUGUCUUUCUCAAGAAUGUUGAGGCUUACGUCAAGGAGGGUGUGUUCGACAGAAGAAACACCAAAUGAGGGCUAUUGAAAACAUUCAGUGGGCUGGAGAGAUGGCUCAGCUGUUAAGAGCACCCAACUACUCGUCCAGAGGUCCUGAGUUCAAUUCCCAGCAACCACAUGGUGGCUCACAACCAUCUGUAAAGAGAUCUGAUGCCCUCUUCUGGUGUAUCUGAAGACAGCUACAGUGUACUUAUAUAUAAUAAAUGAAUAAAUCUUUAAAAGAAAUAAAAAUGAAAAAAAAAAGAAAAAGAAAA